CUUACUUCUUUUUCUUCCUCCUUCAGAGCACCUACUGCUCCCCCUUCUUCGUCCCGCCAGAAGCCCUGCUUGCGCAUUCCUGUGGAGCCAAAGGGAGAAGAGGUGAAGCAGAAGUAUAACAUGCAUCCAGAGAAGUGCAAAGACUUGGGCAUUUUACAAAGUGAAUAUCCCCAGCACCGAGAUCAAGAAACACCAUAAUUAGGAUCCAGAAGUCCCCCCAAAUAUCAGAGGCAAAGACUUCUGAAGCCCAGUGCUCCAACUUGAGAAAGCUGUGGAGGCUGUGGUUCAGGCCCGGGGAAUGAGCGUGGAUGAAGUAGAAUAGUAUGCUGACUAGACCAGUGCUUCUCAAACUGCAGUGUGCCACUGAAUGACCCAGGCGUCUGGUUGAAAGGCAGGUUCUGAUUCAGCAAGCUGGGAAGGGGAUGCUGCGAUUCUACAUUUCUGUCAAUCUCCUACACUUGGUUAGCAAGGCCUUGAACCCAGAGAUUCUCAAUAAUGCUGUACAUAAGAAUCACAUGGGAAGCUUUUAAAAACACUGCUGCCCAGGUCCCACCCCAGAACAAUUCAGUUGGAAUCUCUGGGGUGGGGCUCAGCAUCCAUAGGUUUUAAAAACUCCCCUGGUGAUUCCAGUGUGCAACCAGAAACAGUGGGUGCUGGUUCCCUGGAGUAUCCCCAGUGCAUGAGCUGAGGUGGGAGGGAAGUGAGGUGUGGGGUCAGGUCUGGUGUCUGAGCAAAUGAUCCAGUAUCACAAAGGGCAAGAGAUUUCUUAGGAAUGGACCAUUUGCUCCUUAGUGGAGGUGAAGGGAGGGAUUUCUGAAGGAAUUCUUUGGCGUGGGGCUAGGCUAUCUGCUAACCCAGGUCACGUCCUCCCAGGACCAAGAACAGACCCGUGCCUUCACCUUAUCAAGCAAGUCAGAGCUCCCCAGAGCUGCUCCAGGGGCUGGGCUCACAUGCCCCCAAGCAGUUCAGACAUUUUCAGAACCUUACUAGGGCAGUGGGAGGAGGUGCUGCCAGCUGCUCCCACACCCUGCCCCCUCUGCCCUGCUAGAGAAAGAGCCAGAUGAGUCCAGAGAUUACAAACCCUGGAUCAACAUGGACUAUUCAGGAUGAAGCGCCACGGUCCUGGGUUCUGACGCCCUCUGGUGGACACCUAGAGUUGAAGUUGGUAACCAACAAACAGACUACCGCGUCCAGCAUAAUGCCCUCCAAGUCCAUCCACGUUGCUGCACAUGGCAAAAUUUUGUUCUCUUUUAUGGGUCACUUCUCCAAGCUUUACUCCCAUCCACAGUCUGUUUGCCUGUGUUUACUUUUUAAGUCCUCAGGCUGUGCACGUGGCUACUAAUUCUGACAGGGGAAAGCUUGGACAUAGGUGAGGCAAUUAAAAGGCUUCCCAAUUCUAGUGGCUGCAAUUCCUGCAAGCGUACUGAAGAAUUCUGGCUGGCACUUGCAGCUACGAGAUUCAGUUGUAUAAUGGUUUUUUUUUGGUAAUUGCUUAGUAGAAAGCCUGUAAAAUAAAACCCUUACCAGUUAUGCCUUUUACUAUAGAGCAGCAGUGUCCACUAACCAUUAGCUAUUGAGCACUCGAAAUAGGGGUAGCCCAAAUUGUGAUGUGAUAAGCACAAUGGAUUUUGAAGACUUAUUAUGGAAAAAGGAAUAUAAAAUAUCUUGGCAAUAAUUUUUAAUGUGUACAUGUUAAAAUAAUAGCAUUUUGAAUAUAUUGAUUUCAAAUAUACUAAAAUUUCAUGUUUCUUUUUAGGUUUUUAAUGUGACUAAAAAUUAAAAUUAGAUAGGUAACUCACCUAUUUUUGAGGGGGAGGGGAGACAAAAUAGGUCCUGUUAGAAUUUUCUUUUUUUUUAAUUGAAGUAUAGUUGAUUUACAAUGUUGUUAGUUUCAGGUGUACAGCAGAGUGAUUCAGUUUUAUAUAUAUAUUCUUUUUCAGAUUCUCUUUCCUUGUAAGUUAUUAUAAAAUAUUGAGUAUAGUUCCCUGUGCUAUACAGUAGGUCCUUGUUGGUUAUCUUUUAUAUACAGUAUUGUUUAUGUUAAUCCCAAACUCCUAAUUUAUCCUUUUCCCUCCCCCCUUUCCCCUUUGUUAACCAUAAGUUUGUCUUCCAUGUCUGUGGGUCUGUUUAUGUUUUGUACAUAGGCUCAUUUGUAUCUUUUGUUUUUUGGGGUUUUUUUAGAUUCCACAUAUAAGUGAUAUAUGAUAUUUAUCUUUCUCUGUCUGGCUUACUUCACUUACCGUGAUAAUCUCUAGGUCCAUCCAUGUUGCUGCAAAUGGCAUUAUUUCAUUCUUUUGUAUGACUGAGUAGUAUUCCAUUGUAUAUAUAUACCACCUCUUCUUUAUCCAUUCAUCUGUCCAUGGGCAUUUAGGUUGCUUCUGUCUCAGCUAUUGUAGAUAGUGCUGGCUAUGAACAUUGGGGUACAUGUAUCUUUUCGAAUUAUGGUUUUCUCCGGAUAUAUGCCCAGGAGUGGGAUUGCUAGGUCAUGUGGUAGCUCUAUUUUUAGUUUUUUAAUGAACCUCCAUACUGUUUUCCAUAGUAGCUGCACCAAUUUACAUUCCCACCAACAGUGUAGGAGGAUUCCCGUUUCUCCACACCCUCUCCAGCAUUUAUUGUUUGUAGAUUUUUUGAUGAUGGCCAUUCUGACUGGUGUGAGGUGGUACCUCAUUGUCAUUUUGAUUGGCAUUUCUCUAAUAAUUAGCGAUGUUGAGCAUCUUUUCAUGUGCCUUUUGGCCAUCUGAAUGUCUUCUUUGGAGAAACAUCUAUUUAGAUCUUCUGCCCAUUUCUUUAUUGGGUUGUUUUUUUGAUAUUGAGCUGUAUGAGCUGUUUGUAUAUUUUGGAAAUUAAUCCAAAACUAAAAGACAACCUACAGAAUGGGAGAAAAUAUUUGCAAAUGAUGUGACCUGCUAGAGUAUUCUUACUGAAAACCAAUGACCAAUUGGACAUCCACAUGCAAAAAAAUGAACCAUAUACCCUUUACAAAAAUUACCUGAAAAUAGCUCAGACCUAAAUGUUAAAUGGAAAAAUAAAACUCCUAGAAGAUGACACAGGGAAAAAUCUAGAUGGGUUUGGUGAGACAUGAAAGAAAUAAUUGAUAAGCUGGACUUCUUUAAAAUUAAAAAAUUCUGCUCUGCAAAAGACACUUUCAAGAGAAUGAGAAGACAAACCACAAACUGGGAAAAAAUAAUUGUAAAACACAUAUCUAAUAAAGGACUGUUAUCUAAAAUAUACAAAAAAAAUUCUUAAAACUCAACAAUAAGAAAACAAACAACCUGCUUAAAAUAGGAGCAAAAGAUCUGAACAGACACUUCACCAAAGAUAUACACUUGGUAAAUAAGAAUAUGAAACAUCUUGUCAUUAGGGAAAUGCAAAUUAAAAUGAGAUACCACUACACACCUACUAGAAUGGCCAAAAUCCAAAACACCGACUCCACCAAAUGCUGACAAGGACGUGGAGCAACAGGAACUCUCAUUCACUGCUAGUGGGAAUGCAAAAUGGCAUAGUUACCUUGGAAGACAGUUUGGAAGUUACUUACAAAACUAAAGAUACUCUUACCAUAUAAUCCAGCAAUUGCACUCCUUGGUAUUUACCCAAAUGAACUAAAACUUAUGUCCACAAAAAACCUGUACACGUUUAUAGUAGCUUUACUCGUAAUUGCCAAAAUUUGGAAGCAACAAAGAUGUUCUUUGGUAGGUGAAUGGAGAAAUAAACUGUUAUAUCCAGACAAUGGAAUAUUAUUCAGCACUAAAAAGAAAUGAGCUAUCAAGCCAUGAAAAGACACAGAGGAAUCUUAAAUGCAUAUUACUAAGUGAAAAAAUCCAAUCUGAAAAAGCUAGAUUGAAUGAAUUUUAUGAUUCUAACUAUAUGACAUUCUGGAAAAGGCAAAACUAUGGAGACAGUAAAAAUAUCAAGGGUUGCCAGGGGUUCCUGGGAAGGGAAGAUGAAGAGGCAGAGCACAGAGGAUGUUCAGGGCAGUAAAAUUAUUCUGUAUUGUACCAUAAUGGUAAAAAUGUCAUUAUACAUUUGUCCAAACCCAUAGGAUGUACACCACCAAGAGUGAAUCAUAAUGUCAACUAUGGACGAUAAUGAUGUGUCAAGUUAGAUUCAUUGAUUGUGACAAAGAUGUGGAAACCAGCUAAAUCCUUAAAGAAGGCAGAGAUCUCACGUGGAGAGUAAAGCCUUACAGCCUGGGAUCUCCUAUCUGGCAUCCAGUGAAGGCGGAGGAUCACGCUAAGCUGCCACUUUCCACCUUCAUCAG